GCUUAACGCGAAGAACCUUACCUAGGCUUGAACUCCUACGAACCUGUUGUAAUGGACGGGGUGCCCGCAAGGGAAUGUAGUGAGAGGUGCUGCAUGGCUGUCGUCAGCUCGUGUUGUGAAAUGUUGGGUUAAGUCUCGCAACGAGCGCAACCCCUAUCGUCUGUUGCCAGCAUUUAGUUGGGCACUCCGACGAGACUGCCUGGGUUAACCAGGAGGAAGGUGGGGAUGACGUCAAGUCCUCAUGGCCCUUAUGUCUAGGGCUACACACGUAAUACAAUGGCGCGUACAAUGGGAAGCGAACUAGUGAUAGGGAGCAAAUCUCAAAAAGCGCGCCUCAGUUCGGAUUGGAGUCUGCAACUCGACUCCAUGAAGUUGGAAUCGCUAGUAAUCGGAGAUCAGCACGCUCCGGUGAAUACGUUCCCGGGUC
rnacentral:rRNA from 1 species